UGGACCCUGCUGUGCACGUGAUGCGCCAUGCGUUUUGAGCCAACACUCGUUUUUUGGGGGCUGGAUUCGUGGAGAGGGGAUGCGGUAGCCUGCUACAGGGCAAGGCUGAACCAGCCAGAUAGGUCCCCACCUGCGCAAGCAGGUUCAAAGAUGCUGGUCCUGCACACGGCAUAGCGGGGGCUCC
rnacentral:other from 1 species